UACGGAGGGUGCAAGCGUUAAUCGGAAUUACUGGGCGUAAAGCGUGCGUAGUCGGUUAUCUAAGUCGGGUGUGAAAUCCCCGGGCUCAACCUGGGAAUUGCAUUCGAUACUGGAUAGCUAGAGUUCGGCAGAGGGAAGCGGAAUUUCGGGUGUAGCGGUGAAAUGCGUAGAUAUCCGAAGGAACAUCAGUGGCGAAAGCGGCUUCCUGGACCAGAACUGACGAUCAGGCACGAAAGCGUGGGGAGCAAACAGG
rnacentral:rRNA from 1 species